rnacentral:snRNA from 1 species
GACCCAUGACAUUUGCGUAAUAGU